AUUGAACGCUGGCGGCAUGCCUUACACAUGCAAGUCGAACGGCAGCACGGGAGCAAUCCUGGUGGCGAGUGGCGAACGGGUGAGUAAUAUAUCGGAACGUGCCCAGUCGUGGGGGGUAACGUAGCGAAAGCUACGCUAAUACCGCAUACGAUCUAUGGAUGAAAGCGGGGGAUCGCAAGACCUCGCGCGAUUGGAGCGGCCGAUAUCAGAUUAGGUAGUUGGUGGGGUAAAGGCUCACCAAGCCGACGAUCUGUAGCUGGUCUGAGAGGACGACCAGCCACACUGGGACUGAGACACGGCCCAGACUCCUACGGGAGGCAGCAGUGGGGAAUUUUGGACAAUGGGCGCAAGCCUGAUCCAGCAAUGCCGCGUGCAGGAUGAAGGCCUUCGGGUUGUAAACUGCUUUUGUACGGAGCGAAAAGGCUUCCACUAAUACUGGGGGCUCAUGACGGUACCGUAAGAAUAAGCACCGGCUAACUACGUGCCAGCAGCCGCAGUAAGAC
rnacentral:rRNA from 1 species